UCUCUGGAGUUAUUUAGACGCCUCCCUGUUUUAGGUGACAAGCUCUAGAAUUCUGCUUUCUUAGUCCACACUCUACCUCAUCCUUUUGUUGAUUUAGCAGGUUUUCUGAUGGAGUCUGAGAAUGAGCCCUUUGCAACUUUCACAUUAUUGUACUAUAAAGUCCACCAGUGACUGCUUGUACUGGAGGUCAGUGACAUUAUCUCAUUGGAAUUCCCUGGACUCCAAAUUUAUAAGAUAGCCCAAAACUGCUUUUGUCUGUGAUGGAAAAAUACAGCACAAUGACUGUAAGCCAGUUGGUUUAUAAAGUAUUUGAGGUUCAAAUUUAGAUAUGCAUCAUACUGGCACAUUGUUUGCUUUUAAAAAGUGCUUAUAUUUAUAUUCUGCUAAUAACAUACUUGAUUUCAUUAAAAGAGAUGGUGGAUAUGGACGAUGGGUGACCCAGAGGCUGAUGGACUGGACCCUCACAAUGGUCAUGGACCCCAGUACUGAGCAGCAUGCUGUCAGUCUGUGGGAGCAUUCAUUCUCAUGCCUGCAAGUUCAUAUAUUUAUCCCUCCCAGACUGUCGCCAUCCACAAAAUAGUAAGUGUGAUGUAAACAGAUGCACUUGUGGGAGCCAGUCCUCUUCUACCAUAUGGGUCUUAUGAAUAGAAACC
rnacentral:lncRNA from 1 species